rnacentral:rRNA from 1 species
UACGUAGGUGGCAAGCGUUGUCCGGAUUUACUGGGCGUAAAGAGCGCGCAGGCGGUCGUUCAAGUCGCGUGUGAAAGCCCCCGGCUCAACUGGGGAGGGUCACGCGAUACUGAUCGACUCGAAGGCAGGAGAGGGUAGUGGAAUUCCCGGUGUAGCGGUGAAAUGCGCAGAUAUCGGGAGGAACACCAGUGGCGAAGGCGGCACUCUGGGCCGGUACUGACGCUGAGGAGCGAAAGCGUGGGGAGCGAACAGG